rnacentral:rRNA from 1 species
AGAUAUAGGCUUGAAACUUAAAGAAUUUGGCGGUAUUUUAAUCUUUUCAGAGGAACCUGUUCUAUAAUCGAUAUUCCACGUUAAAUUUUACUAAAUUAUUUAUAUAUCGUUGUCGAAAGAAUAAAUUUUCUAACAUUUUAAAGAAAAUAGAUGUCAAAUCAAGGUGUAGUUGAUAAUUUAGAAGAAAUGGGUUACAAUAAAUUUAUUUAGAAAAUUUUGGAAGGAGGAUUUGAAAGUAAAUUAAU